UAUUCUCUUACCUUUCAACAAAAUGAUGGAAAGAAGCGGGAGACUAAAGCCUUCUAUUUUAUAUUGUCUAAAGAUGCAUGAGAUGGUAAUUCAUCACAAUUUAUCUGGAUCUGUGUUCCUUUUCAACUUAUUUUUCUCCAUGCAAACGUGUUACAGAUGAAUGAGGCGGAUGUUUAUUUAUCGUAUCUCCCUCUAGCACAUAUCUUUGAUCGCGUGCUCGAGGAGUUGUUUAUUUCUUAUGGUGCCUCAAUAGGAUUUUGGCGUGGGGAUGUCAAACUGUUGAUUGAAGACAUUGGGGAGCUAAAACCAACUAUAUUUUGUGUUGUUCCACGUGUGCUGGAUAGGAUCUAUACUGGUAUAUUUUGGAAAACCAUUGUCAUUGGGAGUUCCUACACUUGCAUGUGAUAGUAUUUCUGUGAAUGCUUACAUCUUUUCCCAUUGGUCACGGAAACAAUAUAUUCCAUAACGGUAAGAUUGUUACCAUUAUAAUCCGCACCGUAACGGCUGUUACAGUUUAUUUUUAUUUGUAGAAAAAAUUUGUUCAGCCCUGUUGCGGGACUUUUUUUUUUUGGUAACAGCUGUUACACUCGUUUUGGCCCUGUAACACGUAACAGUUACGUAACUGUUUUGGCAUACCUUGCAUGGGAGCUUAUUGAGGGAACUUGGAGUGAGGAGAGUGAACACUAGUGAUCCUUGGCAUGAUAUGUUCUUAGGUGUUGUACAUUUAUUUUCAAGUCUGACAGAGAAGAUAUCUUCGGGAAGUUUCUUAAAGCAGGCAUUGUUUAACAUUGCAUACAUAUACAAACAAUAUUUCAUGCAGAAUGGAUUAAAACAUCAAGAUGCAGCACCGAUUUUUGACAAAGUAGUUUUCAACAAGUUA